AUUGAACGCUGGCGGCAGGCCUAACACAUGCAAGUCGAGCGGCAGCGGGAAAGUAGCUUGCUACUUUUGCCGGCGAGCGGCGGACGGGUGAGUAAUGCCUGGGAAAUUGCCCAGUCGAGGGGGAUAACAGUUGGAAACGACUGCUAAUACCGCAUACGCCCUACGGGGAAAGCAGGGGACCUUCGGGCCUUGCGCGAUUGGAUAUGCCCAGGUGGGAUUAGCGAGUUGGUGAGGUAAUGGCUCACCAAGGCGACGGUCCCUAGCUGGUCGGAGAGGAUGAUCAGCCACACUGGAACGGAGACACCGUCCAGACUCCGACGGGAGGCAGCAGUGGGGAAUAUUGCACAAUGGGGGAAACCCUGAUGCAGCCAUGCCGCGUGUGUGAAGAGGGCCUUCGGGUUGUAAAGCACUUUCAGCGAGGAGGAAAGGUUGAUGCCUAAUACGUAUCAACUGUGACGUUACUCGCAGAAGAAGCACCGGCUAACUCCGUGCCAGCAGCCGCCGUAA
rnacentral:rRNA from 1 species